GGUCCCACCUGACCCCAUGCCGAACUCAGAAGUGAAACGCCGUAGCGCCGAUGGUAGUGUGGGGUCUCCCCAUGCGAGAGUAGGGAACUGCCAGGCAUCAAAUAAAACGAAAGGCUCAGUCGAA
rnacentral:misc_RNA from 1 species